rnacentral:tRNA from 1 species
GGGGAUAUAGCUCAGUGGUAUAAGUGCCUGUCUGGCAAACACAAAGUCCUGAGUUUGAUUUCUAGUACCCCCU